UUAGUCCGGUCCGUGGGUAGGGCA
rnacentral:misc_RNA from 1 species